rnacentral:rRNA from 1 species
AUGAGCCCGUUAUCCACAGCGUCGUGUAGCACAUGGGGAUCUGUGCGAGGUCGUUUUCCGUGGGAAUACGGGAGCGUUGAAAUUCCAUUUUUUGUAGUGUGUACGUAUGUGGUCGGCCUGGUAUGUGGGCCAGGCAAGCGAUCUCCGUCGUUUGUGUCCGUCGGCCGUCACCGGGAUUUUCCUGAUCCGUGGAUCAGGACGCUCGAUGUGGUCUUGGUCCAUAGACCAGGAAAUUUGCUUUUCCUCCUCAGGCCGGUACGCUGUUUCUGGAGGCGAGUUCGUGCCCAGGGGAAGGGCUCAAUUUCUCGGCGAUGAAGUUUCUCAUGCAGCCAAUUAGCAGAAUCUCCUUGAUUGAGGAGGUUGACGAGAGCACUACACCCAUGGAUCUGGUGGCGUGCGGCACAGGAGGUGUAGUUCCACUUGCCGCGGACGUCUCCGUGCCUGUCAUGAACGCGGACGCCAGAUCCGUGAGGGAGAAGCGGCUGGUGAGAUCAGGCCUGAAGCGUCAUCGCAGGCAUCCGAGCUCUCCACCGGCAAGAUGAGCCCGCAGACCCCUGGUUGGACUAAAAGGUGUGCGCCGCAAUCAAGGUGAGGAUUGGAGCAGCGGCGUCUUGCUGGACAUCGUGCCCCUCGCGUGUGACUGCGUUCGAGAAAUCAGUAAGAGGUUUUGUAGAGAACCCUACAGAAAAUAUCAUUGUGCCGGCCAUUGGGACAAGUUUUGAUUCGCUCUGGGAGGCGUAUGACUUCUACAACCUAUAUUCAUGAGAGAAAGGGUUUGGGAUAAGAUAGGGCAAGAGCAGGUUUAAUGUUGAGAGGACUAAAUGCAUGCAGGAGAUUGUCCGUGGGUGUUUGGGUAAAGCAGGAGUCGAGAACAUCAGGUCAUGUCGCUGCAAGUGUCUCGUGCUCAUAAGACGAGGACAAUUGAUGGUACAUUGCAGAGCACAGGGAGAGCCGCAAGCGCAACCACUUGUUGUCGCCACAUUUCGGAGAGACGAUUCACUGGCCAUCCCAUAAGCACAUUGAUGUUUACAGUCAGACACAAAACUUGCAUCACAAAACAUACGGAGGAAGAGCGUACGGAAAAAUGGUGUGGUUUAUCAUACGAGGUGACAAUGUUGGACGGCUGUGAAGUGUUUGAGUGAGAAGGCGGUCAGUUUGCACACGUGGGGCUGCAUGUCUUGAAGGUAAAGAUGAUAUGCAGAAUUUAUUCCUUUUGGAUCUGUGUUGUCGGCGGGAGCUUCAUUCAGGCCACUAGUCAAGCAACAAGCACCGGGAGGACUACAGUGAUGUGAUGAAGGACUGGGAGGGCUUGGUCAUAUUCUCUGCAUGUGCUAACUUGAAGUGGUGCGAGGAGGUUUUGAAGAAGCCAAAUCGUGUGCUGUUCUAAGUCGAAUUACCUUACUUGCUGAUCGCUAUACUGGGUCUUUGCUGCAUGAAACUGAUUUUUCUAUAAUAUGGCAGUCAAAUCAGAGACAUCAAGGACAUCAUGCCUGACACAAUAAUGAAGUAGCCCAUGAAGUUGCUAGCUGUGCAAAGGAGUCGAGGAGAUAUGUAUCUCCAAGCAGGGCUUGCCAGAGAGGAGAACAUGUCAGGUGAUACCGUCUUUCUGGUGAUACAAUGCUCGGAUGCAUCCUGGACUGCUGGACCACUAGAUUGUGUUCGAAUGGAUGUGAUGAAUGCACACUUGAUGAACAGUUCCUCCACCAUGAAAUAUACAGAACACACCCUGGAUCAUGUUCUUCAUUGAGAGUGAGGCCCUUUCCUACUACUAGUAUAACCAGCGUCAAGUUUCAUUGGUUGUCAAAAAUAAGGGCUCUGUUUCACUUUGUGAAGACACUCAAACCAAAUAUUCCUCUUGCUAUUUUUCCAUCUCCAUAUGAAACUAUGAACAUAUUUUAUUUUUCCUAGUGCUAAAGUUUGAACAAGAUAAAUCCACUAUUUUUUUGGUACUUUGUACUUGGAUACUAACAAACUGUUUGGUAUGUUAAUUCCAUAAACUAAUUUUAGAAAUAUUAUCAGGGUGUUUUUGUUAUAUUUCGCAUUGGAGGAGCUCCAGUCACGUGUGCCUUCAUUAUGAUCUUGGAGCAUUGUAUCAUCAGAGAGGUCGUAUCACCUGAUAUGUUCUCAAGAGGAGAGUUAUGCAGACCCAUUGUAAUGAUUGUAACCCGCCCCUUGAUAAUAUUUAAGUUCUCAUUUUUUUCUGAAAAAUGGAAUGAACAUUGUGCUUUGCUCCUUGAUUCAGUAGCUUGCAUCGGUGUAUGUUUUGGGUGCAAAUUGCCCAGUAUUAUUUUCGUAAUCUUUCUGGUCCUGAUGUGUGAG